rnacentral:rRNA from 1 species
UAUUGGUCAAUGGGCGGGAGCCUGAACCAGCCAAGUCGCGUGAGGGAUUAAGGCCCUACGGUUCGUAAGCCUCUUUUGCCGGGGGACAAACGGCGGCACGCGUGCCGUCCUGAAGGUACCCGGAGAAAAAGCAUAGGCUAACUCAGUGCCAGCAGCCGCGGUAAUACGGAGGAUGCGAGCGUUAUCCGGAUUUAUUGGGUUUAAAGGGUGCGUAGGCGGGAUGCCAAGUCAGCGGUCAAAUACGGGGGCUCAACCUGCGUCCGCCGUUGAAGCUGGCGUUCUUGAGUGGGCGAGAAGUACGCGGAAUGCGUGGUGUAGCGGUGAAAUGCAUAGAUAUCACGCAGAACCCCGAUUGCGAAGGCAGCGUACCGGCGCCCUACUGACGCUGAAGCACGAAAGCGUGGGUAUCGAACAGG